rnacentral:rRNA from 1 species
GCUUAGAGUUUGAUCCUGGCUCAGGAUGAACGCUGGCGGUAUGCUUAACACAUGCAAGUCGAACGGAGUACUUCGGUACUUAGUGGCGGACGGGUGAGUAACGCGUGAGAAUCUGCCUUCAGGAUGGGGAUAACAGUGGGAAACCAUUGCUAAUACCCAAUGAGCCGAGAGGUAAAAAAUUUAUUGCCUGAAGAGGAGCUCGCGUCCGAUUAGUUAGUUGGUGGGGUAAAGGCUUACCAAGACGGCGAUCGGUAGCUGGUCUGAGAGGAUGAGCAGCCACACUGGGACUGAGACACGGCCCAGACUCCUACGGGAGGCAGCAGUGGGGAAUUUUCCGCAAUGGGCGCAAGCCUGACGGAGCAAUACCGCGUGAGGGAGGAAGGCCUUUGGGUUGUAAACCUCUUUUCUUAAGGAAGAAGAUCUGACGGUACUUAAGGAAUCAGCAUCGGCUAACUCCGUGCCAGCAGCCGCGGUAAUACGGAGGAUGCAAGCGUUAUCCGGAAUUAUUGGGCGUAAAGCGUCCGCAGGCGGCACUAUAAGUCUGCUGUCAAAGACCGCAGCUCAACUGCGGAAAGGCAGUGGAAACUGUAGAGCUAGAGUACGGUAGGGGUAGAGGGAAUUCCCAGUGUAGCGGUGAAAUGCGUAGAGAUUGGGAAGAACACCAGUGGCGAAAGCGCUCUACUGGGCCGUAACUGACGCUCAGGGACGAAAGCUAGGGGAGCGAAAGGGAUUAGAUACCCCUGUAGUC